rnacentral:rRNA from 1 species
UCGCGAAUCAUCGGCAAUGCGCGAAAGCGUGACCGUGCGACGCCGCGUGGGCGAUGAAGGCCUUCGGGUUGUAAAGCCCUGUCAGGGGUGAAGAAUGGCAUGGGUCAGCCCAUGUUUGACGUUAGCCCCAAAGGAAGUCACGGCUAACUCCGUGCCAGCAGCCGCGGUAAGACGGAGGUGGCAAACGUUGCUCGGAAUUACUGGGCUUAAAGGGCGUGUAGGCGGUCGACUAAGUCGGGUGUGAAAUACUCCGGCCCAACCGGGGAAUUGCAUUCGAUACUGGUCGGCUAGAGUGCGAGAGGGGCAAGUGGAACUCCAGGUGUAGCGGUGAAAUGCGUAGAUAUCUGGAGGAACGCCGGUGGCGAAAGCGACUUGCUGGCUCGUAACUGACGCUGAGGCGCGAAAGCCAGGGGGAGCAAACGGGAUUAGAUACCCCCGGUAGUCCCUGGCCCUAAACGAUGAGCACUUGGCUGUGGUCCGUCCACUGGGUCACAGCCGCA